GGCUCAGGACGAACGCUGGCGGCGUGCCUAAUACAUGCAAGUAGAACGCUGAAGGAGGAGCUUGCUCUUCUGGAUGAGUUGCGAACGGGUGAGUAACGCGUAGGUAACCUGCCUGGUAGCGGGGGAUAACUAUUGGAAACGAUAGCUAAUACCGCAUAAGAGUAGAUGUUGCAUGACAUUUACUUAAAAGGUGCAAUUGCAUCACUACCAGAUGGACCUGCGUUGUAUUAGCUAGUUGGUGGGGUAACGGCUCACCAAGGCGACGGUACAUAGCCGACCUGAGAGGGUGAUCGGCCACACUGGGACUGAGACACGGCCCAGACUCCUACGGGAGGCAGCAGUAGGGAAUCUUCGGCAAUGGACGGAAGUCUGACCGAGCAACGCCGCGUGAGUGAAGAAGGUUUUCGGAUCGUAAAGCUCUGUUGUAAGAGAAGAACGAGUGUGAGAGUGGAAAGUUCACACUGUGACGGUAUCUUACCAGAAAGGGACGGCUAACUACGUGCCAGCAGCCGCGGUAAUACGUAGGUCCCGAGCGUUGUCCGGAUUUAUUGGGCGUAAAGCGAGCGCAGGCGGUUAGAUAAGUCUGAAGUUAAAGGCUGUGGCUUAACCAUAGUACGCUUUGGAAACUGUUUAACUUGAGUGCAAGAGGGGAGAGUGGAAUUCCAUGUGUAGCGGUGAAAUGCGUAGAUAUAUGGAGGAACACCGGUGGCGAAAGCGGCUCUCUGGCUUGUAACUGACGCUGAGGCUCGAAAGCGUGGGGAGCAAACAGG
rnacentral:rRNA from 1 species